rnacentral:rRNA from 1 species
UAGGGAAUCUUCCACAAUGGACGCAAGUCUGAUGGAGCAACGCCGCGUGAGUGAAGAAGGUUUUCGGACCGUAAAGCUCUGUUGUUGGUGAAGAAGGAUAGAGGUAGUAACUGGCCUUUAUUUGACGGUAAUCAACCAGAAAGUCACGGCUAACUACGUGCCAGCAGCCGCGGUAAUACGUAGGUGGCAAGCGUUGUCCGGAUUUAUUGGGCGUAAAGCGAGCGCAGGCGGAAGAAUAAGUCUGAUGUGAAAGCCCUCGGCUUAACCGAGGAAUUGCAUCGGAAACUGUUUUCUUGAGUGCAGAAGAGGAGAGUAGAACUCCAUGUGUAGCGGUGGAAUGCGUAGAUAUAUGGAAGAAUACCAGCGGCGAAGGCGGCUCUCUGGUCUGCAACUGACGCUGAGGCUCGAAAGCAUGGGUAGCGAACAGGAUUAGAUACCCUGGUAGUCCAUGCCGUAAACGAUGAGUGCUAAGUGUUGGGAGGCUUCCGCCUCUCAGUGCUGCAGCUAACGCAUUAAGCACUCCGCCUGGGGGAGUACGACCGCAAGGUUGAA